ensembl:lncRNA
AUGUCAUGUAAUGUCCUCUGUCUUUCAGACCCUAUCACCUCUGAAGCUACUCUGGAGGUCCUGGUGCCCGUGGACUGGCAGGAGGCCCCCUCAUCCCCAGUCCCACUACUGUGCCUGGUGUCUGGACUGGAUCUCAGUCAGGCUAGGGUGUACUGGGAGGUGGAGGGAAAGGUUCAGUCCUCAGAGCGUUUACCUGAGGUUCUGUCAGAGAAGCCAGCCAGUGUCAGAGUCCACAUUCCUGUACCUGGCCAUACCUGGGCUGAAGGUAAAGAUAUUACCUGUGUUAUGGAGAGUACCAGUGGGGUGAAGAUGAGCAAGACAGUCAGCAGGAUGGGAAAGAAAAUAUUUCAAGCCUAUGAGCACAACCAGGACGGAGCACAGGGUCUGACUGAGGUGCAGUAUGACAGUUUGAAGUUUGGAGCUGGUCGUGGGAGACCCUUCCUACAACCGCAGCUAAAAAAUAAGUAGGCUAAAGCUGCCCUUGUAAGACCUGCCCUUGUGAGUCAAUGAUUUAAGGAUUCUUGCUUUUAGAAUAAGGAAUUUAUGCUGUCGGAUUGUGUAGUCAUUUUACAAGCUUUGUGAUUGAAAACCAUUUGUCUUGUUGAAAUAAUAGCCAAAUGUAAAUUACAUUAAAGACAAAUACAAGUUUCAUUUAUGGAGUGAACUAAUUUCUCUAGUCAUAUGCUGAUGAGAUUUUUGUGAUAAUAGUCAGCUAUAAAAAUGGGUCACAGAUGGAAUCUUUUUCAUCUUCAACAUUAAUAGUACAUCCUGUUUGUUUCACAUAAUGCUCAGCAAGUACAACAGCACAUCCUCCAUUUGAUGGUAAGCAUUUUUGUCCAAAUGCUCUGCCUCUUAGUAUUUCAAAAUGUCUCACAAGUUCGGUGCGUUCUAUAACUUAAAUGAUUGAGCAUCUUUCAUCUCUGUGAUGUUGCAACACAAACCCACAGAUUUACAUCAUUUUAGCAGACGCUCUUACCCAAAUAUAAAUGGUGUUUGACCUUAAGCUAUUUGAAAGUGGUACUAAUUCAUGUAUUAUCUAUACAGAAUUCAUAUUCUGUGUUAUUAGUUUAUGGUUCCCAUACACCAUUGUAAGGAAGGAAGGAAUGGUGAUCUUUGGCUCCUGCCCCCCGUCCUGAUAGGAAUGAGUGAACUCCUUUUCUCCUGCUCGGUUUGAUGAUGUCAUGGCUUGUGCAUGUCUCUCUGGCAUGGGCUCUUUGCGCUGCUAAGCUGUUUGUUGCAAAACAGACACAGCAUUAUUUAAUUUUUUAAGAGCUCCGUCGGGUGGGUUAAAACAUUGCUUUUAGGUGGAUCAUUCUCCCCCGUCUUCUCCUUCUAUCAAUGCUUACAUUGUUGGCAUUAAUCUUUAGUGAGUGAAAGAAAGUGAAACAGAAGCAUUUGAAAUAGAUUAUACUGUAGUGUCAUUCAUAUUUUAUAUUCUGCCUUAUGGAUAGAUAGGUUGAGUUCAAAGUUAUUGUUACACUACCACUCUUAAGAACACAUAGAGCUAUGAAUUAUCCAUUGCAUGAGUUUCUUUCAUUUUCCACAGAUGUCAAAAGUACAAAUGCCUCUUUAACGGCUAAAGUGAAAUAUUCCAGCAUUAAUAUUCCUCAAACACAUAUUAAAAGGCCAUGUAUUGGUUUAGAAGAAAAAAACACACUAUCCUUAUUCAGAACAUCUGCUAAAUCUAUUCUGACAUAGACACUGGAAGCAUUUUCCAGGUCAAAGUCCUGCUCCAAAUAUUUGGAAAAGACCGUCUGGAGAGUUGACCACAGUUUGUUGGACCAAUUUGACCACUGUUUAUAGAAUAUUUACAACAUUCGGAUAAAUAUUGCACCACAAAAACAUAGGGAAAGCACAUACGUUGAAUUCUAUUUCUAAUGGCAAAUGUUGUUCAAAGUUCUAUUGUAAUAGA